rnacentral:rRNA from 1 species
CCUACGGGGGGCGGCAGUGAGGAAUAUUGGUCAAUGGACGCAAGUCUGAACCAGCCAUGUCGCGUGCAGGAGGACUGCCCUAUGGGUUGUAAACUGCUUUUGUACGGGAAGAAAAUCAGCUACGUGUAGUUGUUUGCCGGUACCGUACGAAUAAGGAUCGGCUAACUCCGUGCCAGCAGCCCCGGUC